UACGUAGGGGGCGAGCGUUAUCCGGAUUCACUGGGUGUAAAGGGAGCGUAGACGGCCAUGCAAGCCAGGGGUGAAAGCCCGGGGCCCAACCCCGGGACUGCCCUUGGAACUGCAUGGCUGGAGUGCGGGAGGGGCAGGCGGAAUUCCUGGUGUAGCGGUGAAGUGCGUAGAUAUUAGGAGGAACACCAGUGGCGAAGGCGGCUUACUGGACUGUAACUGGCGUUGAGGCUCGAAAGCGUGGGGAGCAAACAGG
rnacentral:rRNA from 1 species